rnacentral:rRNA from 1 species
CUACGGUGAAUACGUUCCCGGACCUUGUACACACCGCCCGUCAAGCCAUGGAGGCCGGGGGGACCUGAAGUCGGUAACCGCAAGGAGCCGCCUAGGGUAAGACCGGUAACUGGGGCU